CACGUAGGGCGCAAGCGUUGUCCGGAAUUAUUGGGCGUAAAGAGCUCGUAGGCGGUCUGUUGCGUCCGCUGUGAAAACCCAGGGCUUAACCCUGGGCUGGCAGUGGAUACGGACAGACUAGAGGUAGGUAGGGGAGAAUGGAAUUCCCGGUGUAGCGGUGAAAUGCGCAGAUAUCGGGAGGAACACCGGUGGCGAAGGCGGGUCUCUGGGCCGAUACUGACGCUGAGGAGCGAAAGCGUGGGGAGCGAACAGG
rnacentral:rRNA from 1 species